ensembl:lncRNA
AUGACAAAAGCAAUCACCAAGAAAAUCCCGAAAAAGGUUUCAAGAGAGAAGGCACCGGAGAUGGACAAAACUGAAGUAAAGCCAACGGGGAAGAAGAAGCCAGAUGGAACAAUAUUCUAUAAGAAAGAGGAAGGCAAAAGGGAAGGACUGGAUUCAAUAAAAGAGGGAUACAACAGUGAAACUCAAACUGAAUCAUCAGUAAAACCUGGGCUCAAAAGACCACAAGUUAAGGACAAGAAAGUUUUGUCUAAACCAAGUGACAAAGUAAUUCCUCCCAAAAAGCCCAAAGUCCCAGGCCAGGCCUGGUACAAUGGCACCAGGACUGGCCUUGCAGGUGUGAAGAUAGAAGGUCAGACUUUGCCAAAACAACCUGGAAACAAAAAGCAAACAGAAAAGAAGACACAAAUGAGUCCAUCCAAGCCACCAAGUUUUGUUAACAAGACACAGUCAUUAACAGUGAGACAGAUAAUCUUGGGAAGAAGUCCAAGUCAAGAGACUAAAGAACCACAUACCAUGAAAGAGGAAGGCAAAACUUAUCUUGCAAAUAUAACCCAUAAUUAUACUUCUGGUAAACAGGACUUAGAGAAUCUCAACCAUUUAUCCAAAAGUCCAAAUGUUUGGGAAAACAGAACAAACACAAAUCUGGAACUCAUGGAGCAGCACACCAUGGAUGACAUAAAUGGCAAAGAAAGACACGAGAAGAAAUGCGUUAAAAAAGCUAAUGGAAAUGGACCCACAGCAGGCAUAGCUUUGGGAUCAUCAACCUGCCUGACACCAUCUCAAGAUGACACAAAUUACGGAGCUAAUAAAGAGAUAAUUAGAAGAAAUACCACCAAAAUCCAAACAUUAGAUACAAAUAAUGGCUUAAUUCAAAGUAAGAUGCCAGCGGCUGAUUUGGACACUGAUCCAACAAAAGUGUACACUGUCAAACAACCAUCUCCAGCAGAACAUUUAACAAAAACCCAGAUGGAUACAGAUCAACACAAAGUCUAUCAUUCCCAAAGUCCAACAUAUUCACCCACUUCUUUCCCUCAGCCUUCUCUUCCUCCUCCCUCUGCCUCUCCAUUUGUAGGACAGAAGACUAUGGAAGACAACCAAAAAAUAAGAGGCGAGAACCCUAGAGUGAUUCAUCGUACUGAUUCUGAUACUUCCUCUCAUCGUGUAGCUUUUCCCUAUAUCCAAUUCCGCACAGUUGCACCCACCCAACACUCAACCUACAGCAGCCUUAAAGUAGAGAACAAAGCAGGUCCUUCACAACCUUUCUCUACCAUUACAGAAUUAGACCCAGAAGUUUUAUAUCAUAAUGGAGAUCAGAAGAAUGAAAAGCGAGAGGACGUAACCUUAGAAGUAGAUAAAACAGAAGCUGGAAAGACAGAGGGCAAAAUGCCAACUUCUCAGCACCAAAAUGCCAAGAAUUUUCCCGUCCGCCGCAUUCAUGGGGGACAGUUACGCAACAGGACCCGACCAGUUCUUAGGAUGCCAUACCACUCCUCCAGAGGGCCCCCCCGUAGACCGAUAAAACCUACAGUAAAACAAGGAAAUAAUACCUUUGGUGGCAAAAUUAUUUUAAGCACUCAAGGAUGGCAGGGCAACUACACAAAUGGCCAAACAAAUGACAGCAUCAAAAUAAUUGCAAAUUAUCUGUCCAAAAGAAACAAUAUCACUGAGAGGAAAAUGACAUAUGGUUCUGUGAAAACAGAUCUAAAUGGGACAUUGAGGGAAACAGGUCUGAAACCAAAAACAGUUCCAUCAGGUUAUGACUCCAGCCAAGAUGUAACUAGUGGUGGAACUCAAGCAAGCAAGGUGCCCACGUACUCCAAAGUUAGUGCAAGUGGGCAAUCCAACAGAUCCACCAGUGCUACGAAACAACCAAGUCCUGGCCUUAGCUCGGUGAGUGUGCAGAACAUAACCUCCAGGGGAUUUGUGCUGAUUUGGGAUGCACCAGAAGGAAUGUUCAAAAACUUCAUUGUAAGCAGGUAUGAAUUUGCCACAGAGAACAGGAAUGAAACGAACAAAGAAGAUGAACAGAUGCCAAAACCGGGACUCAGCCAGACCCCUGAUGAAGAAGCUGGAGACCCGGCCACUGUAAUCAAAAACAAAAGCAAACCAGACAGUUACAGGAAAAGUAUCAGUGGUGGCAGCAGGAAUGACACUGCUUCUCCCUCAGAACCAAACCAUGGUCCCAGACUGAAGGUUCGAGGUCCCCAGAAGUUUUCACAGGUCAUUCCCGGCACCGCUCGUUCCCUUCAGUUCCAGAACCUUCGUCCUCAGACCCGCUACUCUGUGUCACUGUUUGGGAUGGGUCCUCGGAUCAGAUCAAAAAUGCAUCAGCUCAAGAUUGAGACAGGUACCCUUCACCACCGGUCUUCUCUUUGUUUCUUUAUGUCCCUUCUCCCCUCCAACUGCCUUCAGCAGCUUCAAAUCAGUGUAAAAUCUCUCACAAGUAACUGA